rnacentral:rRNA from 1 species
UCCAGGCCCUACGGGAGGCAGCAGUGGGGAAUUUUCCGCAAUGGGCGAAAGCCUGACGGAGCAACGCCGCGUGAGGGAUGAAGGCCUCUGGGCUGUAAACCUCUUUUAUCAAGGAAGAAGAUCUGACGGUACUUGAUGAAUAAGCCACGGCUAAUUCCGUGCCAGCAGCCGCGGUAAUACGGGAGUGGCAAGCGUUAUCCGGAAUUAUUGGGCGUAAAGCGUCCGCAGGCGGUCCAGAAAGUCUGCUGUUAAAAAGUGGAGCUUAACUCCAUCAUGGCAGUGGAAACUUCUGGACUAGAGUGUGGUAGGGGCAGAGGGAAUUCCCGGUGUAGCGGUGAAAUGCGUAGAUAUCGGGAAGAACACCAGUGGCGAAGGCGCUCUGCUGGGCCAUAACUGACGCUCAUGGACGAAAGCCAGGGGAGCGAAAGGGAUUAGAUACCCCUGUAGUCCUGGCCGUAAACGAUGAACACUAGGUGUCGGGGGAAUCGACCCCUCCGGUGUCGUAGCCAACGCGUUAAGUGUUCCGCCUGGGGAGUACGCACGCAAGUGUGAAACUCAAAGGAAUUGACGGGGGCCCGCACAAGCGGUGGAGUAUGUGGUUUAAUUCGAUGCAACGCGAAGAACCUUACCAGGGUUUGACAUCCUGCGAAUUUCUGGGAAACCGGAAAGUGCCUUCGGGAGCGCAGUGACAGGUGGUGCAUGGCUGUCGUCAGCUCGUGUCGUGAGAUGUUGGGUUAAGUCCCGCAACGAGCGCAACCCACGUCUUUAGUUGCCAGCAUUUAGUUGGGCACUCUAGAGAGACCGCCGGUGAUAAACCGGAGGAAGGUGUGGAUGACGUCAAGUCAUCAUGCCCCUUACAUCCUGGGCUACACACGUACUACAAUGCUACGGACAAAGAGCAGCAAGUUCGCGAGGACAAGCAAAUCUCAUAAACCGUGGCUCAGUUCAGAUCGUAGGCUGCAACUCGCCUACGUGAAGGAGGAAUCGCUAGUAAUCGCAGGUCAGCAUACUGCGGUGAAUACGUUCCCGGGCCUUGCACACACCGCCCGU